AUACAGAGGGUGCGAGCGUUAAUCGGAAUUACUGGGCGUAAAGCGCGCGUAGGCGGCUACUUAAGUCAGAUGUGAAAUCCCCGGGCUCAACCUGGGAACUGCAUCUGAUACUGGGUAGCUAGAGUUUUGGAGAGGGAAGUAGAAUUUCAGGUGUAGCGGUGAAAUGCAUGGAGAUCUGAAGGAAUACCAGUGGCGAAGGCGACUUCCUGGCCAAAAACUGACGCUGAGGUGCGAAAGCGUGGGUAGCAAACGGGAUUAGAAACCCUAGUAGUCC
rnacentral:rRNA from 1 species